rnacentral:rRNA from 1 species
UUAGAGUUUGAUCCUGGCUCAGAACGAACGCUGGCGGCGUGGAUAAGACAUGCAAGUCGAACGAGAGAAUUGCUAGCUUGCUAAUAAUUCUCUAGUGGCGCACGGGUGAGUAACACGUGAGUAACCUGCCCCCGAGAGCGGGAUAGCCCUGGGAAACUGGGAUUAAUACCGCAUAGUAUCCAAAGAUUAAAGCGCGAUGCGCUUGGGGAUGGGCUCGCGGCCUAUUAGUUAGUUGGUGAGGUAACGGCUCACCAAGGCGAUGACGGGUAGCCGGUCUGAGAGGAUGUCCGGCCACACUGGAACUGAGACACGGUCCAGACACCUACGGGUGGCAGCAGGCGAGAAUCAUUCACAAUGGGGGAAACCCUGAUGGUGUGACGCCGCGUGGGGGAAUGAAGGUCUUCGGAUUGAAAACCCCUGUCAUGUGGGAGCAAAUUAGAAAGAUAAUACCACAAGAGGAAGAGACGGCUAACUCUGUGCCAGCAACCGCGGUAAAACAGAGGUCUCAAGCGUUUUUCGGAAUCACUGGGCGUAAAGCGUGCGUAGGCUGUUUGAUAAAUUCAGUGUGAAAGGCGCGGGCUCAACCCGCGGACGGCACAUGAUACUGCGAGACUAGAGUAAUGGAGGGGGAACCGGAAUUCUCGGUGUAGCAUGGAAAUGCGUAGAUAUCGAGAGGAACACUCGCGCCGAAGGCGGGUUCUUCGUCAUUAACUGACGCUGAGGCUCGAGCGCCAGGGGAGCGAAAGCGAUCAGAUACCCCUGUAGUCGUGGCAGUAAACGGUGCACGCUUGGUGUGCGGGGAAUCGGCCCCCUGCGUGCCGGAGCUCACGCGUUAGGGGGUGCCGCUUGGGGAGUACGGUCGCAAGAUUAAAACUCAAAGAAAUUGACGGGGACCCGCACAAGCGGUGGAGUAUGUGGCUUAAUUCGAUGCAACGCGAAGAACCUUACCUGGGCUUGACAUGUAAUGAACAACAUGUGAAAGCAUGUGACUCUUCGGAGGCGUUACACAGGUGACGCAUGGCCGUCGUCAGCUCGUGUCGUGAGAUGUUUGGUUAAGUCCAGCAACGAGCGCAACCCCUGUUCCCAGUUACCAGCACGUGAAGGUGGGGACUCUGGCGAGACUGCCCAGAUCAACUGGGAGGAAGGUGGG